rnacentral:pre_miRNA from 1 species
UGGAGGAACAACCCCAGUGUCGUUGGCCAGCUCUGGAAACCUGGAUUCAGCCCCCACAGGAACUCCGGAGCUCUCCGCCUGCAGGGCCUGGAGGCUCCGGGGCGGG